GCGGUUAUACGAGUGACCCUUAUUAAUAUUUUCCCGGCGUAAAGAGUGGUUUAAGAAAACCUUAAACAACUAAAGUUAAGACCUCAUCAAGCCGUUAUACGCUCUUAUGAGAGGAAUUAUCAACAACGAAAGUGACUUUAUAAUAUUAGAGACCUUGAUGCCACGACAGUUGGGCCCCAAACUAGGAUUAGAUACCCUACUAUGCCCAACCACAAACUUAGACAAUAACCUACUACAUUGUCCGCCAGAGUACUACAAGCGCUAGCUUAAAACCCAAAGGACUUGGCGGUGCUUCAGACCCCCCUAGAGGAGCCUGUUCUAUAACCGAUAAUCCCCGUUAAACCUCACCACCCCUUGCCAAUACCGCCUAUAUACCGCCGUCGUCAGCUCACCCUGUGAAGGAUAAGAAGUAAGCAAAAAGAACUAACUCCCAUACGUCAGGUCGAGGUGUAGCGAAUGGAGUGGAAAGAAAUGGGCUACAUUUUCUAUUAAGAAAACACGGAUAGUAAACUGAAAAUCUACUUCAAGGUGGAUUUAGCAGUAAGGAAAAGUCAGAGUAUUUUCCUGAAGCCGGCUCUGAAGCGCGCACACACCGCCCGUCACUCUCCUCAACAAAACCUUUAUUUUAUAUAAAAAAUUUAUUUUACUAAGAGGAGGCAAGUCGUAACAUGGUAAGUG
rnacentral:rRNA from 1 species